rnacentral:rRNA from 1 species
GCCACCGAAAGGUGGUCUAAUACUUCAUAAUAUCCAUCUCGUAUGGAUUAAAGCUUUAUGCGCUUUGGGAGGGGCCUGCGUAACAUUAGCUAGUUGGUGAGGUAAAAAGCUCACCAAGGCUUCGAUGUUUAACUGGUUUGAGAGGAUGACCAGUCACACUGGGACUGAGAUACGGCCCAGACUCCUACGGGAGGCAGCAGUAAGGAAUCUUCCACAAUGGGGCAACCCUGAUGGAGCAAUACCGCGUGCAGGAUGAAGCGUUUCGGCGUGUAAACUGCUUUUAUCACCGAAGAUUAUGACUGUAGGUGAAGAAUAAGGACCGGCUAACUACGUG